UCAAUGCAUGUCUGCGCUGCAGCUCAGCUCUGCGUGCCAGUCUGUGUGUGGGGAGUGUUUGAUUGAGGUGUUCACAUUAUGCAACACAUGCUACACAAUAACAAGCAGGCUGAGUAACGCAUGAAAGAGGCUGUUU